rnacentral:lncRNA from 1 species
CCGGACCUCACUGUCUCCUUGUUCCUGAGGUACCACACACAGUCACACUUGACAGGUCAACUGGGGAUGAAGCACCUCACGAAUCCUACAAUCUCCUCUUUCUGUCACUCACUGUGAAACUGGGGGUGUGCCCAUCAUACAGAAGGUGACCUGAUUGUCAAGAAUCUAGAAGUCAUGUUGGGGAGAAUGCUCACUGGGUAGAGCAAAUGAGAAGUCCUGAAUUGGAGCCCCUAGAAGCCGUCCAAAGCCAGGCCCCAGGGAUACAUUCUUUGGACCACUGUUCACAAGAAGCAGAAAGAGUGAUGGCAGAGAGUUCCUGAUGGACUCAAGGCAAUAACCACACAGCACCCCUCGGGGUCGAUGACUUCGCCAGCAGCCCUGACUCGCGUUUGAUUUUGACUGGACACAUCUGCCCAGGGACCUGGCAAGCAGGACGUCUCUUUAUCAUUCAAACCCUG